rnacentral:rRNA from 1 species
GGCGGCAUGCCUUACACAUGCAAGUCGAACGGCAGCACGGGGGCAACCCUGGUGGCGAGUGGCGAACGGGUGAGUAAUACAUCGGAACGUGUCCUGUAGUGGGGGAUAGCCCGGCGAAAGCCGGAUUAAUACCGCAUACGAUCUACGGAAGAAAGCGGGGGAUCCUUCGGGACCUCGCGCUAUAGGGGCGGCCGAUGGCAGAUUAGCUAGUUGGUGGGGUAAAGGCCUACCAAGGCGACGAUCUGUAGCUGGUCUGAGAGGACGACCAGCCACACUGGGACUGAGACACGGCCCAGACUCCUACGGGAGGCAGCAGUGGGGAAUUUUGGACAAUGGGGGAAACCCUGAUCCAGCAAUGCCGCGUGUGUGAAGAAGGCCUUCGGGUUGUNAAGCACUUUUGUCCGGAAAGAAAACUUCUGCCCUAAUACGGUGGGAGGAUGACGGUACCGGAAGAAUAAGCACCGGCUAACUACGU